GUUUCUAUGGCGCAAUUGGCUAGCGCGUCUGACUGUUAAAACCCAUUCAUGGGUUGCAAUCAGGAGGUUGACAGUUCAAGCCUGUCUAGGAACG